rnacentral:rRNA from 1 species
UACAGAGGUCUCAAGCGUUGUUCGGAUUCAUUGGGCGUAAAGGGUGCGUAGGCGGCGCGGUAAGUCGGGUGUGAAAUCUCGGAGCUUAACUCCGAAACUGCAUUCGAUACUGCGGUGCUUGAGGACUGGAGAGGAGACUGGAAUUCAUUGUGUAGCAGUGAAAUGCGUAGAGAUCAUGAGGAAGACCAGUGGCGAAGGCGGGUCUCUGGACAGUUCCUGACACUGAGGCACGAAGGCCAGGGGAGCAAACGGG